CCUACGGGGGGCAGCAGUGGGGAAUAUUGGACAAUGGGGGGAACCCUGAUCCAGCCAUGCCGCGUGUGUGAAGAAGGCCCUCGGGUUGUAAAGCACUUUCAGUGAGGAAGAACGCCUGGUGGUUAAUACCCAUCAGGAAAGACAUCACUCACAGAAGAAGCACCGGCUAACUCCGUGCCAGCAGCCGCGGUAAUACGGAGGGUGCGAGCGUUAAUCGGAAUUACUGGGCGUAAAGCGCGCGUAGGUGGCUUGAUAAGCCGGUUGUGAAAGCCCCGGGCUCAACCUGGGAACGGCAUCCGGAACUGUCGAGCUAGAGUGCAGGAGAGGAAGGUAGAAUUCCCGGUGUAGCGGUGAAAGGCGUAGAGAUCGGGAGGAAUACCAGUGGCGAAGGCGGCCUUCUGGACUGACACUGACACUGAGGUGCGAAAGCGUGGGUAGCAAACAGGAUUAGAUACCCGAGUAGUC
rnacentral:rRNA from 1 species